AACGAACGCUGGCGGCAUGCCUAACACAUGCAAGUCGAACGAAACCUUCGGGUCUAGUGGCGCACGGGUGCGUCACGCGUGGGAACCUGCCCUUAGGUUCGGACUAACUCCCCGACAGGGGUGCUAAUACCGGAUAAUGUCUUCGGACCAAAGAUUUAUCGCGUUUGGAUGGGCCCGCGUUGGAUUAGCUAGUUGGUAGGGUAAAAGCCUACCAAGGCGACGAUCCAUAGCUGGUCUGAGAGGAUGAUCAGCCACACUGAGACUGAGACACGGCCCAGACUCCUACGGGAGGCAGCAGUGGGGAAUAUUGGACAAUGGGCGAAAGCAUGAUCCAGCAAUGCCGCGUGAGUGAUGAAGGCAUUAGAGUUGUAAAGCUCUUUUACCCGGGAUGAUAAUGACAGUACCGGGAGAAUAAGCUCCGGCUAACUCCGUG
rnacentral:rRNA from 1 species